CCAAAGUGGGGAAGACCUCCCUGAUCAUGUCACUUGUCAGUGAGGAAUUCCCUGAUGAGGUUCCUCUCAGAGCUGAAGAGAUCACUAUUCCAGCUGAUGUCACACCUGAGAGAGUGCCCACUCAUAUAGUGGACUAUUCAGAAGCAGAACAGUCAGAUGAGCAGCUUUACCAAGAAAUAUCAAAGGCCAAUGUUAUAUGCAUUGUAUAUUCAGUAAACAACAAGAAAUCAAUUGAAAAGGUAAGUCUUCUUGU